CCUACGGGUGGCAGCAGGGGGGAAUAGUGGGCAAUGGGCGCAAGCCUGACCCAGCAACGCCGCGGGAAGGAAGAAGGCUUUCGGGGUGUAAACUUCUUUUGACAGGGAAGAGCAGAAGACGGUACCUGUCGAAUAAGCCACGGCUAACUACGGGCCAGCAGCCGCGGUAAUACGGAGGUGGCAAGCGUUGUCCGGAUUUACUGGGUGGAAAGGGCGUGUAGUCGGGCUGACAAGUCAGAUGUGAAAUCCGGGGGCCCAACCCCCGAACUGCAUUUGAAACUGUUGGUCUUGAGUAUCGGAGAGGCAGGCGGAAUUCCUGGUGUAGCGGUGAAAUGCGUAGAUAUUAGGAGGAACACCAGUGGCGAAGGCGGCCUGCUGGACGACAACUGACGGUGAGGCGCGAAAGCGUGGGGAGCAAACAGGAUUAGAUACCCUAGUAGUC
rnacentral:rRNA from 1 species